CCCCCGGGACACGUAAAUAUGAGCAAAAGCUCUGAAAGGUCGAGAAAAACUUACGAGUUGGAGGUCCGAUCAUCGAGGGAUAGAUACCGGCCAUACUCUCAUUCGAAAAUGUUAUAACCCAUAUUUCCAUACAUUGAGACGUUUUAAAAUAAACGCGACAAGUUAAGACAAGAUUAUUUUAAGGCGCGAGGUAGAGACUUUUAAUUCCCGAUUUUGUUUCAAUGCACAAGUUGCUUAUAAAUUUUAUUGGUAUAAAAAUAUUAUUGGAGAUUAGGGGUAAAUUAACCAUGAUUAGAUUAUUAAGUGGGAUUAAAAAAAAAAAAUUGAUCACUUCAUUAAUUAAGCCUAAAGGGCCAUGUGGGCCCCACCCGAAUUUAUAAAAAAAAAAAAAAAAAAAAAAGUACCAAAAAUUUGAAAAGUAACAAAACAUAGUGCAAUGUGAGUCACAAAAGAAGGGUGUACGUGUAACACCCUUGGAAAGAAUAUAUAGGGAAUAGGGCAUAGUGCAAAUGACAUCUUUUAAGUCAUUUAUAAAAACAAAAAAAAAAAAAAUCAGCUACCAAGAACUAGUAAACACAUCCAUGGUUGUGCACGGCCAGGUUGAUGAUUAAAAAAAAAAAAUCAGUUUGUUGCUAAUAAAAAUUCUAAGGAGAAGACAAGGAGAAGGAGGUGGAGAAGCAAGAAUAAGCAUAGGAAUUUAAGACACAAAUUGAAGCCAAGUAUUCAAGACCUUGGGGAGCCCGAGUCGUAGAUUUGGAUUAGCGUUAGAUUGGCUAGCUUGGAGUGCGUACAAGGUACAGACGCACAGUUUGGUGAUCCACCUGUUUAGGACACCCCUUCUGCUAUUUGGAGUGCUCCUCUCAUUCCGGAGCUUAUACUUUUGGUAUAUAUUUGUUAGUACAUUUGUAUAUAUUCGUUCAUGGGUACGGCAGGGCCCUGUCCCGUCAUGUGAUUCUGUCGGUCUGUUUAGAGGUCUGUGGACAUGUUUGUGGGUUAGGGUCUUUCUGUAUGGAUGUAUGUACAUGUCGUUUGGGCGAUCCCAUACGCCGAGGCGGCCGGUCCGCAUAUGUUGUUUGGGCGAUCCUAUACGCCGAGGCGGCCGGUCCGCAUAUGUUUAUAUAUUGCUUGGUUAGCCCUGUGUGGCUUUUGUUGGUAUUUUCUGCGUGCAGGGUAUAUUGGAUAGUCCGUAAAACAAAGGAAACUCUGCCGAAAUUUUUCUGGAAAUUACCUAAAUUUGAAAUAAAGCCUUGUCGGCUUCCGCCAUAUACUAGAAUGAGUUGAUAGAAUUUGAGAUAAUAUUUGAUAGAUGUGUUUGGGUGCCCAGAUCGGGCACUAGUCA